UUACAGGGGCAAGACUGGAUGAUGCAGCUUGUAAAUGUAAAAAGUUGGAAAGUCAGGAUUACCCAUGCGCACAUAUAUUCUGCGUUCUCGAUCAUCUUGGUGUACGCACAUUUCCAAAAAAAAAAAUUCAAGAAAAGAUGGACAAUGCAUGCCAAGCCAGCGUUCCCUUCUUUGAGGACUGCGAAUACUCAUGUAUGGUCUGAUCACAUGAAUACGUAUCAUCAACUACGCAACAUGGCUAGUGAUGCUUUAUUCACAGCCGCAGCCACAGUCAGAACAGGCAUACUUCUCUGCUGCUCGCGAAUGCUGCACUGAUGACGUGGAAAAUCCAAUCAAAAUAGUUCCAAAAGGGAGACCAACUACCGAAGAAUCGAACAAGAGGAUUAAAUCCAGGCGCGAGCGGAUGAGAGGGAAAAAAAGCAAUGAAGAACAAAUCGGGGAAAUCAAAGGUCACAAGGAGGAAGAAGCGAAAAGAGAAAGACUCAGAGACAGAAGAAGACACAGAUUCAGAUAUAGAAGAAGAGGAAGAUUAAAAAAAAGCAACGAAGAAAAAAUUGGGGAAAUCAAAUAGCACAAGGAGGAAGAAGCAAAAAGAAGAGACAGAGUCAGAUACAGAAGAAGAGACAGAGGCAGAUACAGAAGAAGAGGCAGAGGCAGAUAUAAAAGAAGAGGAAGAUUCAGGUACAGAAGAAGAGGAAGAUUCAGAUGCAGAAGAAGAGGGAGAUUCAGAUGCAGAAGAAGAGGGAGAUUCAGAUGAGGAAGAAGAGGAAGAUUCAGAUGCAGAAGAUGGUGGGCUGAGGAGGGCUAGGAAGAGACCAUUGGAGGUUGCAGAAGAGGAUUACGCAAAACCAAACAAGAAACGCAAGGGCGCUCCAAAUGUCAAUGCUGGGAGGAAGAAAAAGAACGAUGACAAGGGGGUGCGAGGAAAACCAGUGAAGAAAGACUCUAGUAAGGGCGGUAAAGAACAGGCCAAAGGGGUGAUGAAGACAAAAAGGCCUGCUAGGAAUGUACCACAGGCUGAGCGAAUAAGAGCUGUCAAGUUAGCUUCUUUAGCUAUGAAGAGAAAAUCAGUGAACACUAGUAGAAAAAGGGUCAUCUGUCCCGGUUGGUAAGGGCCUUUUGUCCCGGUUGUUGAACCGGGACUAAAGGGUCGUUACUAAUGCCCUAGCCCUUUAGUCCCGGUUCUUACACGAACCGGGACAGAUGGGCCUUCACGUGGCCGGUGCGGUGAGCCCAGGUAGGAGGGCCUUUGGUCCCGGUUGGUGGCACUAACCGGGACCAAUAGGCAUCCACGCGUCAGCAUUUCAGGG